AGGCCUGGUGCGUAAGUCUACCCCACACAGUCCUUUGCGAUUUUCCUCUCCCACUUUGGGAGCCAGUGGAUGAAGAGGGUGGAACCAUAGAAUAGAAGGAACCCAGAUACAGAUCACUGUUCAGAGGAGAGCUGCCUGCCAGUCAGGAAGACCCAUUUUGGACUUUAUGAAGAUGACCACGGCCCCUCUGUUCCCUCGCCUGUGUGCCAAAUGGAUCCACAGCUAGAGACAAGCUCCUUCCCUUUGAACGGUGGGAAGCAGGCCAAGAUGUUUUAAAGACAGAUGGCAUCAGAUGCAGAGAAGCAAGCUGGAACUCGGAGCACAGCUGCCUUAUUUACUUACCUACUGGCUGCAUUUCUGAGAACCAGUUUUAUUCCUGUUCAAAGGAAGCCAGGCAGAGUUGGGAAAAUAUUUUCCUAGCCAGCUCCUUAGCACCACUGUCUGAGGGAAACCAUCUGGCCAAGAUGCCCUUCAAACUUCUUCUCGGCGCUGCAUUUUGAAUUGUUUCUACUAGUGUAUCUUGAAGUUUACUAAGCUUUUCUUCUGGAGUGUCUAAGAUGCUGUUCAUCUCGGCCAGUAUUUUUUCAUCUGUAGAAUUUAAUUCAGUCUUUUUUUAUGUUCUCCAUAUCUCUCCUUAACAUGCUCAUACAUUCUUCUACCUUUGUGAACACAUGGAGUAUAUUAUCACUUUUUAAUAUUCUGCUCCGCAUAAUUCUAGCAUCUGUAUCAUUUCUGUUUCAGUCAAUUUAUUUUUCUUCUUAUUCUGGGUCAUAUUUUCUUUUUGUUUUGUUUUGUUUUGUUUUCAGAAAGAGUCUCGCUCUGUCGCCCAGGUUGGAGUGCAGUGGCACGAUCUCGGCUCACUGAAACCUCCGUCUCCCGGGUUCAAGCGAUUCUCCUACCUCAGCGUUCCGAGUAGCUGGGACUACAGGUGCGCACCGCCACGCCCGGCUAAUUUUUGUAUUUUUUUGUAGAGACGGGGUUUUGCCAUGUUGCCCAGGCUUGUCUCGAAUUCCUGAGCUCAAGCAGUUCGCCCGCUUUGGCCCCUCAAAGUGUUGGGACUACAGGUGUAAGCCACUGUGCCCGGCCCUGGGUCGUAUUUUCCUGCCUCUUUGUAUGCCUGUUAAGGUUUGAUUGGAUGCCAGAUGUGGCUGGAAAGGUCACUCAUGAUUAGUUACUUCUACUAAUUCUCUGACUUCAUCUUCUAAUCUCCACCCCUCCCAGGUCUCUGAUUUUGCCACCCUGAACUUCUUGCACACUUCCUCGUUCAUUUGCACAUGCUGUCCCCUUUCUCUGGGGCACUCUUCCCUAGGCGGUCCCCAUGGGUUUCUCCCUAACUUCAUUUGGGUCUGUGUUCAAAUGUCACAUUACCAAAAACAUUCUAUCACCUUUCCUUGCUUUAUUUGCCUUUAAACAUUUAUAACCACUUGCCAGCCAUGUUACUUACUGAUUGUCUAUUUUUACCUCACCGCCCACCUCUGCUAAAAUGUACCAUGACAGCAUCACCGAGAACUACUGCCAUCAGCUAUAUAAUGAAACUAUUUUUAAGCAACAACAACAGCAGCAGAGAAGAGGGACCAACAGGGUCCAAUGCAUCAGAGGGGUCCAAACUGGUAAGCACUGAAAAAUAUCUAUUGAAUCGGACAAUUAGGAGGACUAACCUCCUCAAGAGUAAGUUCCUGCAGUUUGCUGGAUAAAGGGCAUCAGAGCGCCGUGGGUUGGGUUGAGGACAUCUUCUCCCUUACAGCCUCCUGGUUCUUCUCUCAGAAAAACUUCUCCUCCUUCCCAGCUCAAUCCUAUUUAUUUAUUUUAAAAUUUAUUGUGUAUAUUUAAGGUAUACAACAUGCUGUUAUAGGAUACACAUAGUUAGUAAAAUAUUUACUAUAGCAAAGCAAAUGAACAUCUCUGUCGUCUCCGCACAGUUACCCAUUUUUGUUGCUUUUGUGGCAAGAGCAGCUACAAUCUAGUCAUUUAGUAGGAAUCCCAAGUACAGUGCGAUUUUAUGACCUACAACCAUCAUGGUGUACAUUAGAUCUCUCCACACACCUGUUACAUUGUAUCCUCUGACCUACGUCUUCCCAUUUCUUCCUCCCAUUCCUCCCCAGCCUGCUUCCACCCCAGUAACUGCUGUUUUAUUAUCUGCGUCUGCACAUUUGAUUUUGUUUUUAGAUUCCACAUGUAAGUGACAUCAUGCACUAUUUUUUUUUCCUGUCUGACGCAUUUCACUCAGCAUAGUGUCUUCCAGGUUAAUCCAUGUUGUGCCAAACGACAGGACCUUCUUUUUAAAGGCUGAAUAAUAUUCCAUUGUAUACAGAUGCCACAGUUUUUUAAAUCCAUUCCUCCAUCGACACUUGGGUGGUUCCAUAUCUUGACUAUUGUGAAGAAUGCUGCGUGAAAAUAGAAGUGCAGCCUGAGCUUUUGCUGCGAUCUCCAAAAAAUCAUUGCCAG
rnacentral:lncRNA from 1 species